GAUGAACGCUGACAGAAUGCUUAACACAUGCAAGUCAACUUGAACUUCGGUUUGGGUGGCGGACGGGUGAGUAACGCGUAAAGAACUUGCCUCACAGAUAGGGACAACAUUUGGAAACGUAUGCUAAUACCUGAUAUUAUGAUUAUAUGGCAUCGUAUAAUUAUGAAAGCUAUAUGCGCUGUGAGAGAGCUUUGCGUCCCAUUAGCUAGUUGGAGAGGUAACGGCUCACCAAGGCGAUGAUGGGUAGCCGGCCUGAGAGGGUGAUCGGCCACAAGGGGACUGAGACACGGCCCUUACUCCUACGGGAGGCAGCAGUGGGGAAUAUUGGACAAUGGACCAAGAGUCUGAUCCAGCAAUUCUGUGUGCACGAUGAAGUUUUUCGGAAUGUAAAGUGCUUUCAGUUGGGAAGAAAAAAAUGACGGUACCAACAGAAGAAGUGACGGCUAAAUACGUG
rnacentral:rRNA from 1 species